GGAAAACUAGGCCUGAGCUCAG
rnacentral:piRNA from 1 species